rnacentral:rRNA from 1 species
UAAGGUGAUUAUUGCGGCGGGGCUCACCUCUUCCCAUCUCGAACAGAGAAGUUAAGCCCGCCUGCGCAGAUGGUACUGCAUUU